rnacentral:rRNA from 2 species
AUUGGGUAGGGGAGCGUUCUGUAAGCCGUUGAAGGUGAAUCGUAAGGUUUGCUGGAGGUAUCAGAAGUGCGAAUGCUGACAUGAGUAACGACAAAGGGGGUGAAAAACCUCCUCGCCGGAAGACCAAGGGUUCCUGUCCAACGUUAAUCGGGGCAGGGUGAGUCGACCCCUAAGGUGAGGCCGAAAGGCGUAAUCGAUGGGAAACGGGUUAAUAUUCCCGUACUUCUGACUAUUGCGAUGGGGGGACGGAGAAGGCUAGGUGGGCCAGGCGACGGUUGUCCUGGUUCAAGUGCGUAGGCUUGAGAGUUAGGUAAAUCCGGCUCUCUCUAAGGCUGAGACACGACGUCGAGCUACUACGGUAGUGAAGUCAUUGAUGCCAUGCUUCCAGGAAAAGCCUCUAAGCUUCAGAUAGUCAGGAAUCGUACCCCAAACCGACACAGGUGGUCGGGUAGAGAAUACCAAGGCGCUUGAGAGAACUCGGGUGAAGGAACUAGGCAAAAUGGUACCGUAACUUCGGGAGAAGGUACGCUCUUGAUGGUGAAGUCCCUCGCGGAUGGAGCUGACGAGAGUCGCAGAUACCAGGUGGCUGCAACUGUUUAUUAAAAACACAGCACUGUGCAAAAUCGCAAGAUGACGUAUACGGUGUGACGCCUGCCCGGUGCCGGAAGGUUAAUUGAUGGGGUUAGCGCAAGCGAAGCUCUUGAUCGAAGCCCCGGUAAACGGCGGCCGUAACUAUAACGGUCCUAAGGUAGCGAAAUUCCUUGUCGGGUAAGUUCCGACCUGCACGAAUGGCGUAAUGAUGGCCACGCUGUCUCCACCCGAGACUCAGUGAAAUUGAAAUCGCUGUGAAGAUGCAGUGUACCCGCGGCUAGACGGAAAGACCCCGUGAACCUUUACUACAGCUUGGCACUGAACAUUGAACCUACAUGUGUAGGAUAGGUGGGAGGCUAUGAAGACGUGACGCCAGUUGCGUUGGAGCCGUCCUUGAAAUACCACCCUUGUAUGUUUGAUGUUCUAACUUAGACCC